CUUUUAUGCGUCAUGCUUAAGCUUCAAUCCAAAUAUGCUUCUGGAGUAUAGUUACACCAGAAAAACAAGGAAUGUAAAAAUAACGCCUCAUGAGUCAAUGUGUUUUCUGCCUAAAAUAGUUUUUUUUUUUUUUUUUUGAGAUGGAGUUGCGUUCUGUCGCCCAGGCUGGAGUGCAGGGGCGCGAUCUCGGCUCACUGCACUCCGCCUCCCGGGUUCAAGCGAUUCUCCCACCUCAGCCUCCCGACCAAAACAGAUUCUUAAUAUGGCUGGCCCUGCACAGCCCAGAUCACCUUGGGAAAAUAGCCUGAAAUUGACUUUACAUCAUGCAGAUUCAAGACUAUCUGGCUCUGUAUUAAGUCAUGGACAAAAAAAAAAAAAAAAAAAAAAUGGCCAAUUGAUGGGGCAGAGGGAAAGGGGGAAGGAGGAAGAGAGAGGAAUGAGUGUAAGACUGGCAAUUUAUUUGAAGAAGGAAGAAAAGAAGAUAAAAUGAACACUCUUCAGAAGGUUUUCAAUGACCAGAGUUAAUUUUCUUUAAUUUUCACACACUGAUCAAAUCAAGGGAACUGUAAUCAGUCUCUUUUUCCCCAUUCCCUCCUCUGGCUUGAUCUGAACAUGGAAAAUCAGUCAGCCUUCUUCUUUAUUAUUUUUUAUUUUAUUUUAUUUUAUUUUUUGAGACGGAGUCUCCCUCUGUUGCCCAGGCUGGAGUGCAGUGAUGUGAUCUCAGCUCACUGCAACCUUCGCCUCCCAGAUCCAAGCGAUUCUCUUGCCUCAGCCUCCUGAGUAGCUGACACUACAGAGGAAAAGUGAGCCCCAACACAUAAGAAUGAAGAGGAGAAGAAUGUGGGCUGCAUUUCCCAUGGGACACUGGAAAUGCUGGCUUCAUGGAGACAAGAUUCUUUUUCAGAAUCCCUACACAAAUUGCUGGAAAGAACUUCCAAGGAGGCAUGGUAAGGGAGUUACACUAAUCAUGAAGGGGUUUUAUCCUGUUUAUUACACACUUAUAAGUAGCAUUGUGCUAGGCAUUGGAGACACAAAGUCAGAUAAGAGAAUUCUAGCCUCUAGGAGCUCACAGUCUAGUCACUGUAUGAUCAACCCAAUAAUUCCCCAAAGCAAAGCCCCCAGAGUUGAAAGGUCAGGGCCCAUGGGAAGCACAGAGGAGAGAGUGAGGUAAGAAGCAAUUGCCCCAGGACCUUUGCACUUGCUCCCUGGCUGGAUGCUCUCCCUUGAGAUUGCCUCACGGCUCACUCUGUUGGCCAUGUUCAGAAAAAGACCAGCAUCAGAGAGACAAGAGUAAGAUGAAUAAAUUUGUAGGGUCUGUGGCAUUCUCCAAUAAAAAACUGCGUGUACCAGAUCUUUUAUCAUACCACUCAGACUUCUUUGUUCAUAGCACUGUCUCUCCCCACACGUGUGUCAGCUUUCCUCUAUGUUAAAUCUGUCAUAAGUUGCUGUUGAGAAUAUGUUGUUUCUGAAUAACGUGUAUUCUGAGAUAUGCACCUCACAGAACUUUAAGUCACACCCCCCUCCUUGGUGACUCAAUAACCAAUUAUAGUGCCCCCACAUAGUACAGACAUUUCUAAGAGAACUCCAGGGAGAAAUGCAAUGGUGACGUGAUCAGCAGAGGUCAGGAGAUGUGCUGGAGCUGGCUGGCAGGGCUCACAAGAAUCAAUGGUCAAAGUCACAGAAUUUUUCAAGCCAGUUGAUGUCAUGUUGUUGGUAAGCUUAAAAUUUAGCCAUGGUGGAAGUAUUCAAACCAUGGAAAUCAGCCAACACUACACAUCAGAGCUUCUUUGCCUUCCAUAAAGCCAGUUAUUAACCAUUAAUUUGCACCCCCUUGUCCAGGCUAAUCCUUCUGGGUUUCAGGGAACAGCUUCACCAGAUUCUUUCUUUAGCAAAAACCAGACAAAGUAUAUGGAAGGAGACAGAGGACAGCACUGUCUCUGAUCCAUAGCAAGGAAAAGUUGCCUCCUGCUUGCCCACGCUGAACAACUUCCUAGAGCAGGGGUCAGCACAUUUCCUGUAAAGAGUCAGAUAGUCAAUAUUUUUGGCUUUGCAGACCAUCUGAUCACUGCCACUACUAUUCAACUCUGCCUCUGUAGCACAAAAACAACCAUAGUCAAUACAUAAACGAUAGGUGUGGCUGCAUUUCAAUACAAUAUUAUCUAUGAACAUUGAAAUUUGAAUUUAUGUCAUUUGCAUAUGUCCCAAGAUAUUAUUCUCCUUUUGAUCUUCUUUCAACCAUUUAUCAAUGUAAAAACCAGUCUUAGCUCAUAGUCUAUACAAAAUCAGGC
rnacentral:lncRNA from 10 species